UACAGAGACCUCAAGCGUUAUCCGGAUUUAUUGGGCGUAAAGCGUCCGCAGGUGGCAUGGUAAGUCAUUGGUCAAAUCUUCGGGCUCAACCCGGAAACCGCCGAUGAUACUGCCGUGCUUGAGGAUGGGAGAGGCGAGCGGAAUUGCUGGUGUAGUAGUAAAAUGCGUUAAUAUCAGCAAGAACACCAAAGGCGAAAGCAACUCGCUGGAACAUUCCUGACACUCAUGGACGAAAGCGUGGGGAGCGAAUGGG
rnacentral:rRNA from 1 species